UACAAGAGCUAUCAAAUACUCAGCCUGGUUUAUUACAGCACUGAGUCUCUCGCUUCUCUUCAGUACAAAAUGGGAAUUAAUGUUAACGACACAUAAGCCUCCACGCCCAAGGGUUUACAGACCGGCUGAUCAGACUUCGAUACCUCAAACCGAAAAAUUAGAAUCGCCAAUUGAAAACAUAACAAAAGUAGGAUCUGAUAAAAUGACAAUACCGACACUUGCAUCCAUAAAGGAAGCGCGUCUAAAAUCAUCAAAUAGGCAGAUGCCUAAAGUUUCGAAACCAAAAGAAACAGUGGGAUUGAUUAAUACAAGUGAAACUACGAUAAUUCUGAAAAACACUGGCUUGAUAAAAGUUGGUGACACUUUUAGUGUGAUCAUCGA